CACGUAGGGUGCGAGCGUUGUCCGGAAUUAUUGGGCGUAAAGAGCUCGUAGGCGGUGUGUCGCGUCGGCCGUGAAAACCUGCAGCUUAACUGUGGGCUUGCGGUCGAUACGGGCAUCACUGGAGUUCGGCAGGGGAGACUGGAAUUCCUGGUGUAGCGGUGAAAUGCGUAGAGAUCGGCAGGAACACCCAGGGGGAAACCAGUCGACUGGGCAUCUACUGACGCUGAGGUGCGAGAGCGUGGGGAGCGAACCGG
rnacentral:rRNA from 1 species